UCUGUAUUUUCUACUCAAUUCUGCUAUAAACCUGAAACUGCUCUAAAAAAUAAAGUCUAUUAAAAAAUUCUAACUUCUCAUUCUGUUCAUCUAUUUUUAUCCUAAAUUCUUUGAUCACUUUUAUGAUCAUUACCCUGAACUCUUUAUUGGGUAGAUUGCCUAUGUCCACUUCACUUAGUUCUUCUGAGGUUUUAUGUUGUUCCUUCAUUUGGAACAUGUUCCUCUGUCACCACAUUUUGCCUACUUUGCUAUUUUUAUUCCUAUAUAUCUGGUAGGUUGGUUAUGUUUCCCGACCUUAGAGAAGUGGCCUUUUGUAGGAGAUGUCCUAUGCAUCCCAGCAGUGCAUUUCCCUCUGGUCAUCAGAACUAUAUGCUCUAGGGGGUGCCCUCUGUAUGGGCUGCGUGGGCUCUUCUGUUGUGAUGGGCUGACUACUGUGGGCAAUCUGGUAGGCAUGGCUGGCUCCUGGUCUGUCUGAGUGUCAGGCCCUGUAUUUUGUGAAGGCUACUGUCUGGUUGGCAAGGGCAGGUCACGAGAUCCUGGCUGAGGGACCCUGAGGGGUCCCAGACUAGUCCUGGCUCAAUGAUGAGCAGAGCCAGUUUCUAGGGUAUGUGGUUGCAGCACUGGGUUUUCUGGAUCUAGUGUCAGCCUGCUGGUUGGUGGGGCUGGUUCCUGACAUGGCUGUCUGCAGGUUCCUGGGUGUCGCAAUGCUGGUGCUGGCCCACUGGUGAGUAGGGCUGGAUCCUGGAAUGGCUGGCUAAGGAAUCCAAGGCAUCUCACAGUUGGUGUUGUAGCUGAUAGGUGUGGCUAGGGCCCAGGGCUAGUGCCAAAUCACUGCUGUGCGGAGCAGGGUCCUGGUGUCUCUGGCUUAGGGUCUUAUGGGUCCUGAAACUGGUAUCAGCCCACUGGUGUGUGCAGCUGGAUCCUGGGGCCACUGGCUGAAGAGCCUAAGGUCCCAGAGCUGGAGUUGGCCAGCUGGUGGGCAAGGCCAGGGUCCCAGACGUUAUCAGGGCUGCUCUCUGCCUGCUGGUCUUUUGGCUGGGUCCUGAUAUGGCAGGCUCUGGGGCUACGGUGGUCCUGGGACUAGUGUCUGACCACUAGUUGGAUGGGUUAGGAGUCCAGGAGAUCUUGCCACUGGUGCCCACCCACUCACAGGUGAAGCUGGGUUCUGGGGCCAGUGCCGGCCCACUGGUGGGCAGAGCCAGGUCCUGGGGCCUCUGGCUGCAGGGCCAGGGGUCCCAGAGCUGGUGUCACACCACUGGUGGAUGGAGCCAGUUCUUGACAUGGCUGCAGGGUCUGGGGUGUCCUGAAGCUUGUGUCAGCCUGAUGAUUGGGGCUGGAUCCUGGAGCAGCUGGCUGAGGGCCUCAAGGUGUCUCAGAGCUGGUGUUGGCUUGCUGGUGGGUAAAGUCAUGGCCCAUUGGGUCCUGUGGCUAGUGCUAGCCUGCUGGUGGUUGGGCUGGGUCUUUCCAUGACAGACUGUAGGGUUGCAGUGGUCCUGGGGCUGGUACCUGUCCAUUGUGGGGCAGAGAUGGGUCCUGGGGUUUCUGGCUGCAGGGCCCUGGGGGUUCCAGGUCUAGUGCAUGCAUACUGGUGUCUGGGGCUAGGUCCUGGGUCCUCUGUGGACAGGGCCAUUUCCCAGGAUGGCUGUGGGCUCAGGGGGUCUUAAGAUAGCCUACCGGCUGAUGGGUGGGGCUGUGUCCCUGUCUGGUUAGUUGCUUGGCCUGAAGCAUCCCAGUAUGAGUGCCUAUAGGCUGGUGGGCACGGGCAGGGCUGGGUACCAAGGCUAACAAACUAGAGGGUGGAUCCCAAAAUGGCACUUGCCAGCACCAGUGUUUGUGUCCCCAGGGUGAGCUCCAAUUGCCUCCUGCUUCUCUGGGAGACUCUCCAAGAUCAGCAGGUGGGUCUGACCCAGGCUCCUUUCAAAUCACUGCUUCAGCCCUGGGUCCUGGAAUGUGUUAGAUUUUGUGUGCUCCCUUUAAGAGUGCAGUCUCUAUUUCCCACAGCCCUGUAAGCCCCACUGGCCUUCAAAGCCUCACAUUCUGAGGGAUCAUCUUCCUGAUGCUGGGCCCUCAGGUUGGGGAGCUUGAUGUGGGGCUGAGACCCAUCGCACCUUGGGGAGAAUUUCUGCAGUUGUAAUUAUUCUUCUAUGUGUGAGGUAUGGGUCUUGACUACACUGUGACUCUGCCACUCCCACUCAUCUCGUUGUGGUUCCUUCUUUAUUUCUUUAGUUGUAAAAGAUCUUUUCUGUUAGAUUCUGAUCUUUCUCAUGAAUAGUUGCUCUGUAAAUAGUUGUUAUAUUGGUGUGUCUGUGAGAGGUGAGUUCAGAGUCUUCCUACUCUGCCAUCUUGACCAAAAAAAAAAUCUAUUAACAAAUGUUUUUAUCUUUGACAAUCUGACAGGUAAAAUAUAGAAACUUAUAAGUAUAUAUUUUUUAACUUAAAAUACAUGCAUAUGAUAAAAAAACCAAUGUGAGCAGUAUAAAAGGAUAUACAAUUAAAGUUAUAUAUUACCCCUAUUCCCUAGUUCCCUUGGUUCCCUUUCCAGAGACCUCCCACUGUCAGUUUCCUGUUUAUCUUCCAGGUAUAUUCCAUGCAAAUCAUGCAUAUGCAAAUAUAAAUGGGCGUAUAUGUGUGUGUGCACAAGUGUUUGGAAAUUUAUCUGGUCUGGUUUAUUGAUAAAAAUUAUGGUGUAGCUGACACGAAGACGUCAAGUGAUGAAGCCUAUUUGCUACCAAGAGGGGAGUCACAUUUACAAUGGAGCUCACACUUUAGAAGACUGAACUGACAGAUGGAAGGAAAUUAGGUCCUUGGUGAUAUUGCUGAUUCACAGAAUCAAACCAAUUUCCAAGCCCACUCAUCCCCUUGAAUUUGCAGUUAUUUGAACCAAUAAAUCCUUUUUAUUGUUUAA